GACGGGCGGGCAUGCGGGUGGCUUGACUCUAGCCCGGGCUCAGGGCUCCGGCCGCAGCCAUGGAGCGGCGGUUGCGCGCGCUGGAGCGGCUGGCGCGGGGCGAGGCCGGAGGCGGCCCGGGGCUCGACGGGCUCCUGGAUCUGCUGCUGGGGCUGCACCAAGAGCUCAGCAGCGCCCCCCUGCGGCGGGAGCGCAACGUGGCGCAGUUCCUGAGCUGGGUCAGCCCCUUCAUAGCGAAGGUGAAAGAGCUGCAGCUGCAGAGAGAUGACUUUGAGAUCUUGAAGGUGAUCGGCCGAGGGGCCUUCGGGGAGGUCGCUGUGGUGAGGCAGAGGGACAGUGGCCAGGUUUUUGCCAUGAAAAUGCUGCACAAGUGGGAGAUGCUGAAGAGGGCCGAGACGGCCUGUUUCCGGGAGGAGCGGGACGUUCUGGUGAAGGGGGACAGCCGCUGGGUGACCGCUCUGCAUUACGCCUUCCAAGAUGAGGAGUACCUGUACCUGGUGAUGGACUACUACGCUGGGGGGGACCUCCUCACUCUGCUGAGCCGCUUUGAGGACCGUCUCCCGCCCGAGCUGGCCCAGUUCUACCUGGCCGAGAUGGUGCUGGCCAUCCACUCGCUGCAUCAGCUGGGCUACGUCCACAGGGACGUCAAGCCGGACAAUAUCCUGCUGGACAUGAACGGGCACAUCCGCUUGGCCGACUUUGGCUCCUGCCUACGGCUUAACAACAGUGGCAUGGUGGAUUCGUCGGUGGCAGUGGGGACGCCCGACUACAUCUCCCCUGAGAUCCUGCAGGCCAUGGAGGAGGGCAGGGGCCACUAUGGCCCACAGUGUGACUGGUGGUCCCUGGGGGUCUGUGCCUACGAGCUGCUCUUUGGGGAGACGCCCUUCUACGCCGAAUCCCUGGUGGAAACCUACGGCAAGAUCAUGAACCAUGAGGACCACCUGCAGUUCCCCCCAGAUGCGCCCGAUGUGCCGGCCAGCGCCCAAGACCUGAUCCGCCAGCUGCUGUGCCGCCAGGAGGAGCGUCUGGGCCACGGAGGGCUGGACGACUUCCGGAACCACCCCUUCUUCGAAGGCGUGGACUGGGAGCGGCUGGCGACUAGCACGGCCCCCUACAUCCCCGAGCUUCGCGGGCCCAUGGACACCUCCAACUUCGACGUGGACGACGACACCCUCAACCAUCCAGGGACCCUGCCGCCACCCUCCCACGGGACCUUCUUAGGCCACCACCUGCCAUUCGUGGGUUUCACCUAUACCUCAGGCAGUCUGGGCCCUGAGAGCAGUUCUGAGCAGUUGGCUGCCCUGGAGCGGAAGCUCCGCUGUUUGGAGCAGGAGAAGGUGGAGCUGAGCCGGAAGCUCCAAGAGGCUCUGCAGACCCCCUCAGACCAUCGGGAGCUGGAGCAGCUACGGAAGGAAGUGCAGACUCUGCAGGACAGGCUGUCAGAGACGCUGAGGGACAGCAAGGUGGACGGGCGCCCGGCUGGUAGCCCAGGCCAGGACAGUGACGUGCGGCAGGAGAGAGACCAGCUCCUCCAGGAGCUGGUCGAGGCUCGGGCAGCGCUGCGGGCGCAGGAGCAGGAGCUGUGCAGGGCCCAGGGGUGGCAGGAGGAGCUGCUCCAGAAACUGCAGGAGGCCCAGGAGAGAGAGGUGGCCGUGGCCAGCGAGACCCAGGCCCUGAACUCCCAGCUGGAGGAAGCCUGGGAAGCCCAGAGGGAGCUGCAGGCCCAGGUGGCCACCCUGAGCCAGGAGGUGAUGCAGCUCCAGAGACGGCAGGAACGAAGCCUGGAGAAGGAGCCUCCCCAGAUCAAGACCAUCCACACCGCCUCUGAGACCAAUGGCGCAGGACUGCCUGAGAGCAGCGGGCCUCAGGAAGCACAGCGGAGGCAGGAGGUGCAGCUGGAGCAGGCCCGCGGCCACGGGCCGAGUGGGAAGGAGGAGGCUCUGUGCCGGCUGCAGGAGGAGAACCAGCAGCUGAGCCGGGAGCAGCAGCGGCUGGUGGAGGAGCUGGAGCGGGAGCAGCAGAGCAAGCAGAGACUGGAGGGCGAGCAGCGGGAGACGGAGAGCAACUGGGAGGCCCAGAUUGCCGACAUCCUCAGCUGGGUGAAUGAUGAGAAGGUGUCAAGAGGCUACCUGCAGGCGCUGGCCACCAAGAUGGCCGAGGAGCUGGAGUCCUUGCGGAACGUGGGCACCCAGACUUUCCCUGCCCGGCCGCUGGUGAGCCCCGGGGACACCCAGGGGGAGGGGUGCCAGGAGCCGCACUCCACGGGUAGGGACACUAGCUCACAGAAGAUCAGGGACUUACCUAAACUCACACCGGGUCAGGGGCAGAGCUGGGGCUUUGAGCCUGGCCAGGUGGUGUGGUGGGAGAGGGCCUCUGAGGUAGCCAGGCCCUCGGGGCGUCUUCCGUUGAUUCCCCCUGGCCACCAGGAUCACCAGUGGAAGGCACGGCGGCUGCAGAAGAUGGAGGCGUCGGCCAGGCUGGAGCUGCAGUCAGCACUGGAGGCCGAGAUACGGGCCAAGCAGGGUCUGCAGGAGCGGCUGACGCAGGUGCAGGAGGCCCAGCUGCGGGCUGAGAGCCGUCUGCAGGAGGUCGAGAGGCAGAACCAGGGCCUGCAGCAGGAGCUGGCUACCCUCCGGGAGGAGCUGCGGGCCCAUGGGCCGGGUGACACCAAGCCCUCAAACUCCCUGAUUCCCUUCCUGUCCUUCCGGAGCUCAGAGAAGGAUGCCACCAAGGACCCUGGCGUCUCAGGAGAGGCCCUGAAGCCUGGGCUGGAGCCCGAGCUGAGGCCAGAGGGCCGCCGCAGCCUGCGCCUGGGGGCUGUGUUCCCCAGAGCGCCUGCUGCUACCACACCCCCUGCAGAAGGUCCUCCUGCAAAGCCUGGCACACACCCGCUGCGCCCCCGGAGCUUCCCAUCCCCCACCAAGUGUCUCCGCUGCACCUCGCUGAUGCUGGGCCUGAGCCGCCAGGGCCUGGGCUGUGACGCUUGCGGCUACUUCUGUCACUCGACUUGUGCCCCACAGGCCCCACCCUGCCCCGUGCCCCCUGACCUCCUCCACACGGCCCUGGGAGUGCACCCUGAAACGGGCACGGGCACCGCCUACGAGGGCUUCUUGUCGGUGCCACGGCCCUCGGGUGUCCGGCGGGGCUGGCAGCGAGUGUUUGCUGCCCUCAGUGACUCGCGCCUGCUGCUGUUUGAUGCCCCAGACCCGAGGCUCAGCCCGGCCAGCGGGGCCCUCCUGCAGGCACUGGAUCUGAGGGACCCCCAGUUCUCGGCCACCCCUGUCCUGGCCUCGGAUGUUAUCCACGCCCAAUCCAGGGACCUGCCCCGCAUCUUUAGGGUGACAGCCUCCCAGCUGACGGUGCCGCCUGCCACGUGCACCGUGCUGCUGUUGGCGGAGAGCGAGGGCGAGCGCGAGCGCUGGCUGCAGGUGCUGGGCGAGCUGCAGCAGCUGCUGCUGGACGCGCGGCCCCGGCCCAGGCCGGUGUACACGCUCAAGGAGGCCUACGACAACGGGCUGCCGCUGCUGCCCCACGCGCUCUGCGCCGCCAUCAUCGACCAGAAACGGCUUGCUCUGGGCACUGAGGAGGGGCUGUUUGUGAUCCACCUGCACGGCAACGACAUCUUCCAGGUGGGUGAGUGCCGGCGGGUGCAGCGGCUGGCCGUGAGCCCCACCGCGGGCCUUCUGGUCGUGCUGUGCGGCCGCGGCCCCAGCGUGCGCCUCUUUGCCCUGGCCGAGCUGGAGAACGUGGAGGCAUCGGGUGCCAAGAUCCCCGAGUCUCGAGGCUGCCAGGCCCUGGCAGCCGGGCGCAUCCUGCAGGCCCGCACCCCCGUGCUCUGUGUCGCAGUCAAGCGCCAGGUGCUCUGCUACCAACUGGGUCCAGGCCCGGGGCCCUGGCAGCGCCGCAUCCGUGAGCUGCAGGCACCAGCACCUGUGCAGAGCCUGGGGCUGCUGGGUGACCGGCUGUGCGUGGGCGCGGCUGGCGCCUUCACCCUCUACCCGCUGCUCAACGAGGCUGCACCCUUAGCGCUGGGAGCCGGUCUGGUGCCUGAGGAGCUGCCCCCAUCCCGCGGGGGCCUGGGUGAGGCCCUGGGCGCCGUGGAGCUCAGUCUCAGUGAGUUCCUGCUGCUCUUCACCACCGCCGGGGUCUAUGUGGACAGCGCCGGCCGCAAGUCUCGCAUCCAAGAGCUGCUGUGGCCAGCAGUGCCCACGGGUUGGGGUUACGCAGCCCCCUACCUGACAGUGUUUAGCGAGAACGCCAUCGAUGUGUUUGAUGUGAGGAGAGCAGAAUGGGUCCAGACGGUGCCGCUCAGGAAGGUGCGACCCCUGAACCCAGAGGGCUCCCUGUUCCUCUUUGGCACCGAGAAGGUCCGCCUGACCUACCUCAGGAACCCGCUGGCAGAUAAGGACGAGUUCGACAUCCCCAACCUCACCGACAACAGCCGGCGCCAGCUGUUCCGCACCAAGAGCAAGCGCCGCUUCUUCUUCCGCGUGUCGGAGGAGCAGCUGCAGCAGCAGCGCAGGGAGAUGCUGAAGGACCCUUUUGUGCGCUCCAAGCUCAUCUCGACGCCCACCAACUUCAACCACCUGGUGCACGUGGGCCCUGCAGACGGAAGGCCCAGCGCCAGGGACCUGCCCCCGGCUCCGGAAGAGAGGGGCCGAGGUGCCCGCAGCUCUGGCCCGCAGCGGCCCCACAGCUUCUCCGAGGCCUCGCGGCGCCCAACUUCCAUGGACAGUGACGGCCUCGCUGGAGACGCGGACCACACUGGAGCAGUGAAGAGGAAGCCUUGGACGUCUCUGUCCAGCGAGUCGGUGUCCUGCCCCCAGGGAUCUCUGAGCCCCGUGGCCUCCCUGAUACAGGCCCUUACCCCUGCUGUCUCCCCUGCUUCUCUUGAAAUGCCCUUUCCUGUCGUCCACCUGAUUAAGGCCCAGGCCAUCUUCAAGGCUCUGCACCACUGUCACCUUCUCCAGAGACCACUGGGCUGCCUGGUCACAUGGUCACUGCCGCACUCCUCCCUCCACCUCCUAACUGUUGAUCCUGCUGUGCUGUGAUUUUCGUCUGGGUUUCUUGAUUGUGGGGGUCAAGUUUGUCUUCUGCCUGGAGUAAAGCCUAUUUGUUGAUUGAAUGUAGAAUGGAGUGAAUGAACAAAGGGGCUUUGGUUUGGGCUCCAGAGUUCAGUAGGAUUUCCUCAGGCUCUUCUCACGUACCCCUACCCCACCUCACAUCUGACCUCCUCCGAUGGCCCCGCUGCAGCAAGGGAUGUGUCCUGGGGAAGCCUCUGGGAGGCACUGACCUGGUCUCAGAACGGCCCCGGAGCCUCCCCCCGGCCCCUGAAUCUGAG